AAUUCUCAACCUUUUCGACUUUUUCUAAGUCGACUAGGCUUGGAUGUGGGAGUUUGCGGGCUUCUCCGAAGUCGGCUCUCCUUAAAUUUAUUAGUAGGGACCUCUGUUGCCUUAGCUUUUGGUGUGAUAAUUAUCUACGCCAUCAUGUGAAGCAGCUUUAAAUUGGGGUUGCUGCUCUCUAACAGUCUCUUUGGUGGGACAAUUUAUGACA
rnacentral:misc_RNA from 1 species